rnacentral:lncRNA from 1 species
UGUACUCUCCUGCCUGGGCCCCAUUCCCAAAGGGUAUUGUGACAUAUUGAUGAGCCCAGCACUCGUGUGAUGUAAUGCUUAGCCUGGGUUCUGCCCACAGGGGACAUUGUGACACAUCACUUGUCCCAGCACCAUAGUGAUGUGAAUAUCCUACCAGCACUCAACCACAGGGGGAACACUAAUAUAUCCCUGGCUCAGUAUUCAGCUGAUGAGACUCUCCUGCCUGGUUCUACUCACAGUGUCUUCUGCAGUUACAUUGCCUUCACUGGUCAUGAGAGGAGGGGCUGUGGUAGGGCCUUGAAGGACGCCUGUGGAGCCAGAGGCCAUUGGAUUGCAGGCAGCCAAGAGCUACCUCGCCCCUGCUAUCUGCUGUGGCCCUCGCCGGGAUGCGAUGCCCUGACAUGGGUUGCCUGGAGCUGUGCGCAAUGAGCAAGGGGACGGCUGAUGGCCCUCCCAGAUCUGCAUGGCCUGGAAACCAUAAAACUCUUGGGAACUAUCACAUCUUCCCCAGCUACAGGAAGAAUAGAAGUAGUGUUGGAGAAGUCAAGGGGUCAGAAGUACUGGGGGCGUUCCCAGGUUCAGCCAGAAACAGUUCACAAGAGAGUUUUAAAUAAAGUGUACCUGUGGCUAAAUAUGACCUACUGAUUACUCUUAAUUUUUUCGCCACAUUUAUUGAGCUAUGAUUUACAUAUUGAAAAGUAUGUAUGUUUAGGGUGUACAAUAGAGUGCUUUUAGAUGUGUAUAUAUCUUUAAAUUACCUCAAGCUGGUUAACAUAUCUAUCCCCACACAUAGUUACCUUAUACGUUUCUGUGUAUGUGGUGAGGGCAC